CCUACGGGCGGCAGCAGUAGGGAAUCUUUCACAAUGGGCGAAAGCCUGAUGGAGCAACGCCGCGUGCAGGAUGAAGGCCUUCGGGUUGUAAACUGCUUUUAUAAGCGAGAAAUAUGAUGGUAACUUAUGAAUAAGGAUCGGCUAACUACGUGCCAGCAGCCGCGGUCAUACGUAGGAUCCGAGCAUUAUCCGGAGUGACUGGGUGUAAAGAGUUGCGUAGGUGGCAUAAUAAGUAGCUAGUGAAAUCUGGUGGCUCAACCAUUCAGACGAUUAGCUAAACUGUUAAGCUCGAGACCGUUAGAGGUAACUGGAAUUUCUAGUGUAGGAGUGAAAUGCGUAGAUAUUAGAAGGAACACCAAUAGCGUAGGCAGGUUACUGGGACGGUUCUGACACUAAGGCACGAAAGCGUAGGGAGCAAACGGGAUUAGAUACCCUGGUAGUC
rnacentral:rRNA from 1 species